rnacentral:rRNA from 1 species
AUUAAUUAAAAGUAGUGAGGUCACUUUUCACGAAGGGCAGUGAGCUAAAUAUAUAUGUGUUGUCAAACAAAUACGUAGCAUAGUAUUUUUAAAUGUCUUUUUAGGGGUGAUAGGCCUCUCAAACUGUCCGAUAACUUGACUCAUAUGAAAAGUAUUAAGUACUUCUACAUACUUAAAAAGUUAAGCUUUUAAGUAUAAAUUAAACAUGUUCCUUUUCCUUAACGCAGUGUAGUAGCUGGUUACUUGUCAUAGAAAUAUUACGCACGAUUUUUUAUUUAGAUUAAUGUGGCAGUAUUGCCUAUAACAGUAUUAGAUAAUGUUAAUAUUAGUAGUUAUUUUAAGUGUGUUAAAGGAACUUGGCAAAUAGUCUCUCAACUGUUUAUCAAAAACAUAGCUAUAUGUAUUAAUAUAUAGUUAUUUCUGCUCAAUGACGUAAAUAGCCGCAGUACUCUGACUGUGCAAAGGUAGCAUAAUCAGUUGGCUUUUAAUUGGGGUCUGGUAUGAACGAAAAUAUGGGUGGCGACUGUCUUAGCAUAUUUAAGCAAACUUAUUUAGCAAGUGAAAAUCCUUGCUGUCACAAAAAAGACGAGAAGACCCUAGAAACUUGAAGUAGGUUUUGUUGGGGCGACAGAAUUACAUUUAACUAAUUUAUAAAACACGUCAUACGUUUGAUUGAAUAAGUUACUCUAGGGAUAACAGCAUAAUUUUUAUAGUUUGUGACCUCGAUGUUGGACUAGGUAGUCCACCCUUGAGGCAAGGGUAGAAGAUGCUCUGUUCGAGCAAUUACACCUACAUGAUCUGAGUUCAGACCGG